CCUACGGGUGGCAGCAGUGGGGGAUAUUGCACAAUGGGGGGAACCCUGAUGCAGCGACGCCGCGUGGGUGAAGAAGCGCCUCGGCGCGUAAAGCCCUGUCAGCAGGGAAGAAAAUGAAGGUACCUGAAGAAGAAGCCCCGGCUAACUACGUGCCAGCAGCCGCGGUAAUACGUAGGGGGCAAGCGUGAUACGGAUGUACUGUGUGGAAAGGGGGCGCAGACGACGAUGCAAGCCAGGUGUGAAAGCCCGGUGCCCAACCCCGGGACCGCUCUUGGAACUGCGUGGCUGGAGUGAAGGAGGGGCAGGCGGAAUUCCUGGUGUAGCGGUGAAAUGCGUAGAUAUCAGGAGGAACACCGGUGGCGAAGGCGGCCUGCUGGACUGCAACUGACGUUGAGGCCCGAAAGCGUGGGGAGCAAACAGGAUUAGAUACCCUGGUAGUC
rnacentral:rRNA from 1 species